rnacentral:rRNA from 1 species
GACGUAGGGGGCCAGCGUUGUUCGGAAUUACUGGGCGUAAAGCGCACGUAGGCGGCUUUCUAAGUCGGGGGUGAAAUCCUGGAGCUCAACUCCAGAACUGCCUUCGAUACUGGAAAGCUCGAGUCCGGGAGAGGUGAGUGGAACUGCGAGUGUAGAGGUGAAAUUCGUAGAUAUUCGCAAGAACACCAGUGGCGAAGGCGGCUCACUGGCCCGGUACUGACGCUGAGGUGCGAAAGCGUGGGGAGCAAACAGG